rnacentral:lncRNA from 1 species
CGUGGAUUCCUCUCGAAGUCCCGAAUCCAACGAACCAAGUCUCGUCGCAAUCCGAUGCUCCUACGUCGCGUACGAGCUGAAAUACUAACAGUCGACGGUGGAUUUCAGCAAACAACAACUAUCCGAGUAGAAGUAGUAAACACUUGCCCAAAAAUCAAGGAAAAACUGAAAUACCCACCUCGACAACGCCGAGCACCUGAGUGACAGCAAGAACGGCGAAAAUCCCUGCUCGCCCGGCCUCCACGCGCUACCCCGGCGUCAAACACAAGCUCGAACGGCCUCGCGGCGCGACGUCGGCGACAAAACUCCAACCGAGCUCCAAAGCCUUCAACCGGAUGAGAGUGAGAGUGAGAGAUGGAAAAUUUCAGCUAGAAGACCUCUCUCUCUCUCUAUAGGAAACUAUAUAAAGAGGAGUGAGGGGUGAUACAAACGAGGGAGAGAAAAGACCAAAACACCCUCUCACCUACCCUGGUGUACCGGUACACGGGGUCGCGUACCGGUACAGG